UUUUUGUGUUUCAGGUACAUGGGCCAGACGUGGCCAUCAAACAGGCCGGGGGGAUCUGGCACCGCGUAGUUCCUGGAGCACCUCCUCUUUUUGCACAACUGCUCUUCCCGAUUUUUUAGCUUGUUCUAGAGUUUUCGCAGUAUUCAAGCAAAGCCGCAACUCAUCUCCCUCAUUCUGCCACUCAGUGGAUGGAACCACGGUGACUUCCGCUAGCGGUGACGUCACAUGCAUACCCUCUAUAAUGGCCCUCAUUUUGUUUUGUAUUGACAUCGACGUGGACCACAGACUUUUACACUGGACUAAACAUGACGGUUUAUUGCGACUCACUGCUGUCCUGGUUUUCCCAAACAGACCUGGUAGAGACAAUCCAAAUCUGCUGAACUCUGGUUCAUCUGAUCGGAGUCUGCGCAGAACACUCCUUGUUAUGGCAAAGGGGGGUGGUCCGGAGGGGAACGCUAAGGGGUCGGGUCUGACCGGGUCGGUGUCAUGUCCAGUGAGGACAUGGCAAUAGGGCUUGUGAUCCACAACAAUCCAGGUCAUGUAGUCAGUUGGAUUUCAUAUUUUUUUAUUUUGUCAGAGCUGAAGUACAGAGUGAAUUCAUCUACAACUUUUUUGUUCACGACCCGGACCCAGAUAAAGUGGAAGAAGAUGGAUGGAGGACCAGGAAGGCCUAUCUGAUGGAGCCGUUCAUCCAUCAGCCAACCCAGGACACACCAGGUCAAAACUGUGGAACCCCUGCAAUCAGACAGCAGACCAGGGGACAGAGACCACAGGAGCAGGACCAGUCCAGAUGCAGACCUGGUGUCAUAGGUGUCAUGUCCAGUGAGGACAUGGCAAUAGGGCUUGUGAUCCACAACAAUCCAACAAUCCAAUUCAGUUGGAUUUCAUAUUUUUUAUUUUGUCAGAGCUGAAGUACAAUGUGAAUUCAUCUACAACUUUCUUGUUCUUUUUGUUUCCGGCAAACGCGACCCGGACCCAGAUAAAGUGGAAGAAGAUAGAUGGAGGACAAGGAAGGCCUAUCUGAUGGAGCUGUUCAUCCAUCAGUGUUUGAUGAUUCUGAGGAGACGUCAGUGGUGGACCUGUGAGGAGGAGCAGAGACCCUAGACCCCAGACCAGACCCCCCCCCACAAAAGCCGAAAUGACCCCACUGUGGCCAAACAUUUAACCUGAAACUGUAACUACAAUAAACCGCAUGAACUUCAUCUUUUUCUUCUGUUUUUGUAAAAGAACCAAGACCAUGUUUGGUAGAUUUUUUUCAGUGCUAUUUCACCUAUAUUAUCUGAUCAUUCUGUUACACUUAGUCUUAUUUUAUUAUCAUAUAGGACCCAAAGAAUACACAAAAAUUAAUACAAUUCAGUUUGGGGAAAAAAAAAAAACUUUUUUUAAACUGUGAAAACAUAUAAAGAUAACUAUUUAUCUAUUAAUAAUAUCUCCAGGUUUACAUGGUUAAUCAAUAUCAAUGUCUUGGAGUUAUUCCAAGAGGUUAUUUAUAUUUAGUUUGUGGUAUAAGUUCAAGAGAAGUUUCAAUGAAACUGAAGAAAUAUAAA